CGGCACACUGCUUCUCGUGCCACAGGUGGAACAGGCCCCGGGACGGCGCCCGCACCACCAGGAGGUUGCUGUGGAGGUACUUCCUGUAGAGGUGGACGUCCUCACCUCCCCAGCCUUUGAUGUCGAUGUCAAAGCCUCCUGCGAGAACGGAGAGUAAACAAGAUUUAAAAACUUGCCGCUGCACAGCUUCGUUACACGUGCUGUUGUGUAAAGAGGCCUCUUGAUAUGCAAGCACUUGUUUUCUCUGCACUGUGUUCACUAACUCUUAGUGGAAUGCUGUUUGUGAGUCCUGAUUAGAGCAAACAGAACGUGAUCAUAAUCUCUAGACUGCACGGUGGUCGGUUGUUUUGUGAGGAGGCAGCGAGGAACCUCUCGACUGACGGCAACAGAUCUCGACCGGGCGUGUUUAAAUCUGCCUCUUUGCAUGUCUGGACCGCGAUGUUCUCACUUGGUGUAACACAAGCUGGGUGUUUUGUUUUGGAUUUUCUCUUUCGGCCUCCUCUCUUCACUCCUGCUCCGGGGCUAAACCGAGAGAAGACAUGAACCCAGCAGAUGAAUUGUUCAUUUGUUUGUGCGUACUCUCCUUCUAAAUAAUGAAUUCCAUUGUCAUUUCUGAUGAGCAUAAACCCGCAGGACUAAAUCGUGUCUUAAAGGAGAAGUUUGACGAUUUGUGAAACAUGGUCAUUUUCUUUCCUGUGGAGAGUCAUCUGAGACAAUUGUGGUUCCUUUAGUUUAGCAUAAAACAUGAGAAAAAAAAGGGGAAUCAGCACUUGAUGGUUUCCUCUGAAUAAUAACAAGAUUUCAUGGAAGUCACUGAGCAUGAAGCAGCUGUAAAACCACAACUUGACGUUUCUGCACGCAUCAAGUCUUUCAAAUCCAUUUUCCGUUUUCUUUGACACCUGGAAUGACACAUACAAGCUUUCUCUCAUGUGACACUAAUGUUUGGGUAUUUAGCCACAUGAACAGUUUUAUCAUUUUGGGUUCAAUAGCGCCGCUUUGGAUAAAGUGACGCCUUCGAGAAUUACCGCUGUGGCCUUUUGUCAUCAUGAAUGACCUAGAUGAUGGUGAAAAGAAAUCCAGUAGGUCACAGGUAAUUCUGCACUCUGUCAAAGUUGUUACCUCCGCCAGACCCCUUUAUAAUUGUUAUUAUUAUUAUCUUGUCAUUCAGGGAGCAUUAAGCUGGUUUGCAGUCAUAUACUCAGAUUGCAUUCGUACCAGAUAUAGAAUACAGCACAGACAAUAUAUGAUAAUAACCACACAGUCAGUAAUAAUAAGAUGAUGAGAAAAUCGAAUAAAGCAAAUAACGGCCACGUCUGGUGGGAGUGGUGCAGUACGCAGCAAUAAAAGCAAUAAAACUUUGGAGGGAAACCAAAUUGAUGUAAAUCUGCCGUGAGACCCAAUGUUCCUGAUCUAAUAUACGGAGGGAGAGGACGGAGAGGCUACGAGAUGAGAUGCUAAUAUAUGCUGCUGCUGCUGCUCAGAGCUACUUCAUGCAGAGUAAUAUAAUAAAAUCCCAUCCGAGUUAGGAGAGUAAUGCAAUGUCGAGCCAUUUGUGUUUCCCCCCCCCACAUCCAUUAAGUCAUUGCACCAUUAACAUAGCUGUGCAUAUUUCCGUCGCCAUCCAGGAAGCCCAUUUCUACCCUCCGUUAUGCAACGCCUCUGCACAAAUGAUCUACCCCCAGGAGCCGCUGUUUAUAAAUCCCUGCAUUGCUAAGUGAGAUGUUGUGUUGGAUACGACUGCGGUGUUCUAAUUGUUGUUAUUCUCUAAUAUUUACCUAUGUUAAUGAAGUCGGAGCGGUACUGGCAGGUCAUGCCGAAGCCGAAAUCCCUCCAGAACCCCGUGUCCUUCUUGAUCACCUGCAGGGAAAACCACCACAGGUCUCACAGAGGUCGGUAACAUGUCAGAUCCAUACACAGGGGAGGAACUUCAGUAGCUUCUCUGGGUUUCUACACAGGAGCACCUCCCAGGUAUAAAGCACAAUGUUUCCAAGAAGUGGCUUGCAGAAAGGUUAAAAAAAGACAAAUGGAGAACAUCAGAUUUGAUUGGUGCGUUUGUGUGUGUGUGUGUGUUUGUGUGUGUUACCAGCUGCUGCUCCACAGUUGGGACGUGUUCAGGGCUUCCAUAGAUCAGAGUGGGGUUGUACUGGCUGAAUAACACUGGGUAGAAAACCUUUUUACCUGCGAUGUAGAGAGACAGGGUUGUCAGACAGCUAGGAAAUUAUUUAUAACGGAAUGUGUGUGUGUGUGUGUGUGUGUGUGUGUGUGUGUGUGAGUGAACUCAUAGCUUUGUGAGGACACAUUCUGGGAAAGUGAGGACAUGUGGCUCAGUGCUCGCUUGCUUUUAGGGUUAGAAUUAGGUUUAGGUUUAGAUUAGGCCUGAAACACAGCAUUCUGAAUGAGUGCUAUAGGAGCAGAGGUGUGAAUAAACAAUUAUAAGUUAAUAAAAUAAUGACAUAAGGGAAGUUUAAAAGACCAAAGGCACAGGUGAGGCAGCAGUGGGUUGACCAAAAGAGGUUUUAAACGUCCGACCUCUAGGUUUUUCUCUUUGUUUGUUUCAGACAGAGGUGAUUGGGAAUAGGUGUUAUGCCCGAGUGGUUAGGUUCAGGGCCAGGGGUCAGGGCUAGGAUGGUUGGGAUGGGCGGUUUGUCAAGACAAUAGAAUCUCAAGGAGGGUUAUGGUGAAAUGACCCCAACGGUUAAGCAUUAAAAGCAAUUAUGCCACUGAGUGUUCUCACAAAGAUAGAAGUGUAUGAAUGUAUGAGUCUCACCGGGUUGUGUGUUGAGUCGGCAGCUGUUGAGGAAGUCGGCGGUGAAGUAGAUGUCCACGUCGCAGAAGAAGAGCAGCACGUUGCCUCCCUUCCAGGCCCGCGCCCCGACGUCCAGACCUCGACCCCGAGAAAACUCCUCGUCCAGCUGCAGCAGAGUGAAGUUCUUAAAGUUCACCUCCCUGCAGAAACCCAGUGAGGAACGAGAGCGGCGAGACAGACAAGCAGAAGAUGUGGUGAGAGUAAAGAGGAACAGCUGGAUCCAGAUGUGCACAGCUGCCGCUUUUUCCUUAACAACGCGCACUAUCUGUCAGAGGCUCCACGGAGAGUCGCUGACCUACGUGUGAACUGAAUGAAAUGCCACGGCAGCACGACAGGCUCGUUUGAGAGGCUGAAACUUGUUUCCCCUCAGCGACGGCAACAGGAGGAGACACGGAGAGACAAAGAGGCGCAGUGUGAUACUGGAGAUAGUCCGACCGAUUCAAUGCCACACAAAACCCUCAGGGCUGGGAAAUCGACAAGCGUCACCAUAGCAACUCCCUCGGGGAACUGUGGCUCAGUCCACAGUGGAUCUGACUCGCGAUCAGCCACCUCCCCUGUGGCGUUGGCGUCCAGGUCCUGCGAGAGGGUUAGCAUGAGUCACGGGCGAUCACGGGCCUGUUAUGAUUUAUCUGUGUCGGCUGGGAGCGCUCAGCCCCUUGGCAUGGGUGGCACACUGCUCCAUUAUUCAUCAGCCAGAUGACUGGCUGUGGCACGGAGCCGACCCAGGGGGUGUGUGUGCUUUGUAGGUGUCGUGAAAUGAGAGCGACAGAUUAGAAAACGUGAGAGGGGUUUCUGUGGCAUGUGGGGAAACAGUGAAAGAGUAUUUUUCCAGCAGUUAUUUUUUUUUACUUCUUAAAUAUCAUUCCAUCUUCUGCGUUUGGGCUCCAAUUCAAUGAUCUGAUCUUGGCUGCGGUUUCAACCCACCUGGACGUGUUCUCCAGAGUGCUGCGGACUUCGCUCAUCUGCUCCUUCCCAAAAUACACCACCGUCAGAUGGACUCGGCCGUCCUGCCGCACACACACCUCCCUGCACGUAUACACAAACACAAAGAGGAAGGGACAAUAUGGAUGAAAGCAUUCUCAAAGUGAGCAGGGGACAUUACAGGAAGGAAGUGCACUGGGAACAAAUGCUUCCCAGUGAACAACUUGCAUCAUUUAUUAAAGUUUCAGUCAUUUGUCUUAAAAAAAAGUCCAACAUUAUUGUAUUUUUCACUCCCCUUGUCAUAAAUGAAUUAAAAAGUCAACAUCUUUGUA